rnacentral:rRNA from 1 species
AGCGUAUAUUAAAGUUGUUGCAGUUAAAAAGCUCGUAGUUGAAUUUCGGGGUCAGUAGGUUGGUCGUGCCACCGGUACGUACUGGUCUCACUGAUUCCUCCUUCCUGAUGAGCUGUAAUGCCAUUAAUUUGGUGUUGCAGGGAAUCUGGACUGUUACUUUGAAAAAAUUAGAGUGUUUAAAGCAGGCUAACGCUUGAAUACAUUAGCAUGGAAUAAUGAAAUAGGACGUUCGAUCCUAUUUUGUUGGUUUCUAGGAUUGACGUAAUGAUUAAUAGGGAUAGUUGGGGGCAUUAGUAUUCAAUCGUCAGAGGUGAAAUUCUUGGAUUUAUUGAAGACUAACUACUGCGAAAGCAUUUGCCAAGGAUGUUUUCAUUAAUCAAGAACGAAAGUUAGGGGAUCGAAGACGAUCAGAUACCGUCGUAGUCUUAACCAUAAACUAUGCCGACUAGGGAUCGGAUGAUGUUAAUUUUUUAAUGACUC